CUCCAGCUCAUUUUCUGGAUAUAAAUGUUACUGUGAAAUAGUUUGGUACAGAGGUGAUAUUUUCCAGCAAAAGAAGGGCAAAAUUUACCAGACUCACUGCAGAACUGGAUCCUCUUUUACCAUAAAGACACUUCUAUACUUAAUAGUCACAGUCUGUCUCCUCGGGCUGCCAAGAGGUCACAGGAGAGUCUUGCCCCAGCAUAGUGCCUGGAGGAGCAUGGGCCCCAUCUACGGGCUGAGAUCAGCUGCUCACACCCCCGCAGCAGGGACCAGAGCAAGAGCAGGAAGGGACCAGUGCUGAGCCAAAUCUAUUCACUGGGAGAAUGGAAUCUUCAAGGCUGUCUGUGCAUUGAGUUGCUUUUGUUUCUUAUGAGCCAGUAUCUCUGAUGCAAGAUGAAUGAAACUAGAAUAUGAG
rnacentral:lncRNA from 1 species